GCCGAAAGUCUGACGGAGCAACGCCGCGUGAGUGAAGAAGGUUUUCGGAUCGUAAAGCUCUGUCUUCAGGGACGAAUGUGCUUAAUGUGAAUAAUGUUAAGUAAUGACGGUACCUGAGGAGGAAGCCACGGCUAACUACGUGCCAGCAGCCGCGGUAAUACGUAGGUGGCAAGCGUUGUCCGGAAUUAUUGGGCGUAAAGCGCGCGCAGGCGGGAAUGUAAGUCUGUCUUAAAAGUUCGGGGCUCAACCCCGUGAUGGGAUGGAAACUACAUUUCUUGAGUGCAGGAGAGGAAAGUGGAAUUCCUAGUGUAGCGGUGAAAUGCGUAGAUAUUAGGAGGAACACCAGUGGCGAAGGCGACUUUCUGGACUGUGUCUGACGCUGAGGCGCGAAAGCCAGGGGAGUGAACGGGAUUAGAUACCCCGGUAAUCCUGGCCGUAAACGAUGGGUACUAGGUGUAGGAGGUAUCGACCCCUUCUGUGCCGGAGUUAACGCAAUAAGUACCCCGCCCUGGGGAGUA
rnacentral:rRNA from 1 species